GCGGUGUAAAAUGAGCGUGUGUCCUAUUAGCUAGUUGGAGAGGUAAUGGCUCACCAAGGCUACGAUGGGUAGGGGUUCUUAGUGGAAGGUCCCCCACACUGGCACUGAGAUACGGGCCAGACUCCUACGGGAGGCAGCAGUAGGGAAUAUUGGUCAAUGGGCGCAAGCCUGAACCAGCCAUGCCGCGUGCAGGAUGAAGGCUCUAUGAGUUGUAAACUGCUUUUGUACAGGAGCAAAAAAAUCCCUGCGGGGGUUCUUGAGAGUACUGUAAGAAUAAGCACCGGCUAAUUCCGUGCCAGCAGCCGCGGUAAUACGGAAGGUGCAAGCGUUAUCCGGUUUUAUUGGGUUUAAAGGGUGCGUAGGCGGCUUAUUAAGUCAGUUGUGAAAUCCUAGUGCUUAACGCUAGAACUGCGAUUGAUACUAUUAGGCUUGAGUUAAGAAGAGGU
rnacentral:rRNA from 2 species